rnacentral:misc_RNA from 1 species
GAUGAAGAACGUAGCGAAAUGCGAUACGUAAUGUGAAUUGCAGAAUUCAGUGAAUCAUCGAGUCUUUGAACGCACAUUGCGCCCCCUGGUAUUCCGGGGGGCAUGCCUGUCCGAGCGUCAUUGCUGCCCUCAAGCACGGCUUGUGUGUUGGGCCUCCGUCCUCUUCCCGGGGGACGGGCCCGAAAGGCAGCGGCGGCACCGCGUCCGGUCCUCGAGCGUAUGGGGCUUCGUCACCCGCUCUUGUAGGCCCGGCCGGCGCUUGCCGACACAUCAAUCUUUUUUCCAGGUUGACCUCGGAUCAGGUAGGGAUACCCGCUGAACUUAAGCAUAUCAAUAAGCGGAGGA